rnacentral:rRNA from 1 species
UACGUAGGGCGCAAGCGUUGUCCGGAAUUAUUGGGCGUAAAGAGCUCGUAGGCGGUUUGUCGCGUCUGCUGUGAAAACGCGGGGCUCAACUCCGCGCCUGCAGUGGGUACGGGCAGACUAGAGUGCAGUAGGGGAGACUGGAAUUCCUGGUGUAGCGGUGGAAUGCGCAGAUAUCAGGAGGAACACCGGUGGCGAAGGCGGGUCUCUGGGCUGUAACUGACGCUGAGGAGCGAAAGCGUGGGUAGCGAACAGG